rnacentral:rRNA from 1 species
GAUGGACGCUGGCGGCGUGCCUAAUACAUGCAAGUCGAGCGAACAGACGAGGAGCUUGCUCCUCUGACGUUAGCGGCGGACGGGUGAGUAACACGUGGAUAACCUACCUAUAAGACUGGGAUAACUUCGGGAAACCGGAGCUAAUACCGGAUAAUAUAUUGAACCGCAUGGUUCAAUAGUGAAAGACGGUUUUGCUGUCACUUAUAGAUGGAUCCGCGCCGCAUUAGCUAGUUGGUAAGGUAACGGCUUACCAAGGCGACGAUGCGUAGCCGACCUGAGAGGGUGAUCAGCCACACUGGAACUGAGACACGGUCCAGUCUCCUACGGGAGGCAGCAGUAGGGAAUCUUCCGCAAUGGGCGAAAGCCUGACGGAGCAACGCCGCGUGAGUGAUGAAGGUCUUCGGAUCGUAAAACUCUGUUAUUAGGGAAGAACAAAUGUGUAAGUAACUAUGCACGUCUUGACGGUACCUAAUCAGAAAGCCACGGCUAACUACGUG